rnacentral:rRNA from 1 species
UGAGGAAUAUUGGUCAAUGGGCGGGAGCCUGAACCAGCCAAGCCGCGUGAGGGAGGAAGGCCCUAUGGGUCGUAAACCUCUUUUGUCAGGGAACAAAAGCGAGUAUGUAUACUAGUCUGAGUGUACCUGAAGAAAAAGCAUCGGCUAACUCCGUGCCAGCAGCCGCGGUAAUACGGAGGAUGCGAGCGUUAUCCGGAUUUAUUGGGUUUAAAGGGUGCGUAGGCGGCGGUGCAAGUCAGCGGUAAAAGCCCGGGGGCUCAACCCCGGCGAGCCGUUGAAACUGCAGUGCUAGAGAAGGCGAGAGGUACGCGGAAUGCGCAGUGUAGCGGUGAAAUGCUUAGAUAUUGCGCAGAACUCCGAUUGCGAAGGCAGCGUACUGGCGCCUGACUGACGCUGAGGCACGAAAGCGUGGGGAUCGAACAGAAUUAGAUACC